UACGUAGGCAGCGAGCGUUGUUCGGAAUUACUGGGCGUAAAGAGUGUGUAGGCGGUGCUCUAAGUUCGGUGUGAAAUCUCCUGGCUCAACUGAGAGGGUGCGCCGGAAACUGGAGUGCUUGAGCGUGGGAGAGGAAAGCGGAAUUCCUGGUGUAGCGGUGAAAUGCGUAGAUAUCAGGAGGAACACCUGUGGUGUAGACGGCUUUCUGGACCAUAGCUGACGCUGAGACACGAAAGCGUGGGUAGCAAACAGG
rnacentral:rRNA from 1 species